UACGUAGGGUGCGAGCGUUAAUCGGAAUUACUGGGCGUAAAGCGUGCGCAGGCGGUUCGUGAUGUCUGAUGUGAAAGCCCCGGGCUCAACCUGGGAAUUGCAUUGGAAACUAGCGGGCUGGAGUGUGGCAGAGGGGGGUGGAAUUCCACGUGUAGCAGUGAAAUGCGUAGAGAUGUGGAGGAACACCGAUGGCGAAGGCAGGUCUCUGGGCAUUAACUGACGCUGAGGAGCGAAAGCAUGGGGAGCGAACAGG
rnacentral:rRNA from 1 species